AUAGGCUUUGUCCUCAAAAAAGCAUCCUGGCUGAUGUUUGUGGCAUUAAAGACCUGGAACGGUUGAGGCUAAAGGGCAGGGAGAGUUAGGUGCGGCCGGCUGCAUCGCUGAGAAAUCACAAACGCGCACAGUUUGUACGGGAACUUUGUAGGCUCGUGGAGCCUGGCCAGAGGCGACGGGGGGAGGGGGGGUGGCACAUCCAGAAUUGCAAGGAUUUACUGCUUCCAAAGAGACAUAAAUUGAUAGAAGUUGAAAGAGAUAUAAAAGUACGGAGCAGACAAGUUAUCUUUUGUGAACCAUGACUAUUUUUAGUAGCCAUUUUUAUCAAUGGGCCAAUCUAAACAGGGUUGAAAUAUUAACUGUGGCUCCACCUCAAGUUACAAUAGGGUCUUGUACUUCUUUUUAUAGCUGUGAAAACUGGAAAUCAUUCUUGGCUCUGUGCAUGUCUGAUCUCAUUGAGUGAAAUUCUUUUUAAAAUAGUACGAAGGUUGAGUUUAUUAGGCCAGUAAAAAUACACCAUAUUACCAGGUUAAAAUUGCUGUUAUUAGGGAAGCAUGACAACGAAAGAAACUGGUGGCAUUUUAAUUAAGAAUAAUACCGGAAAAUGAUCGCGGUACUUCCGAAUAGCAUGCUACAUUAUAAUGCACAAAUAUUUCAUCAACGAUUUCAUCUGACCUUCACAGUACUGCUGUGAGGCCAGCAUAGACAGACUGUUCUAAUUUUGUGAAUAAGGGGUCCUGCCUAUACUUGAGGAAAUGAAAUAAUCGUGCAAAGUAGUAAGAGGUUGAGAAUUCUGACAGAAGCAGUCAUCCGUACCAUAUAGAGUAAGAUUUUAAACUGUAUUUUUUUUUAGCUCUCUACUUACCCACUCGGAUAAGAGUUUGAACAGAUACCAACUUCUGGCUACCUGUGGUUACCUUAAAUAUAUGACCACUUGUUCUCAAAGUGAAUUUGGGGGACAUCACUAAGAAUUGUUAGAAACUCCAAAUCUCAAAUGCCACUGCUGGGAAAUAAGCACGUAGUGUCCAGCAAUCUGUUUUAACAAGCCUUCCAAAGGAUUCUAGGAGACCUUCAAGGUUGAACUCCCACUGGAGAAAAGCCUUGAUUUAUUUUUUUUAUAACCACAAAGCCAUCAAGUCCCUAUGACAUAAAUAUCUUAAAACUGAAUAAAUACUGGCCAAAAUAUAUUUCAAAAUAUAUAUCUAGAAGUAAAAUUGAGAUUGAAGAAUGCAAUGUUAUAAUUAAAAUAGGGGCCUUGUGGCUUGGUUACAGACAUAAAGUAUUAUCAAAUUUUAAUUUGUUUCUCCUAAAGGAGACAGGAAAGCUCUAGGAGGAGAUUUUGGAUGUGAUCCCAAGCUUUCCCACACAAAGAAAGAUGUAAACAAGGAUAACAUUCCAGUACCACAUCAGUUUCCACACCAGCAAACAUCCGCUGUGGUUUAAUAUGAAAGGAUUAAGUAUUAAGGGUAAGAUUAAGGAUGAGGUAGACUGGGAGAAAUGGAGUCUCGAACUAGAUACAUCCAUGGAAUGAGAGUCAAACCCAGCUGGCCUGAUAAACGUUCAGCCAGAAGACAGUGUCUGAAGAAUAUGGAACUGGCAGCAAGCCAGAAAAUCAGCUAGCAGCAGGCUGGUUGAACAGAGAAUGUGAGCAUUGUAAACCAAUGGACAGCUGGAACAAAGCCUUGGGAAAUCCAAGAGCAAGCAAAAACGAAGUCAUGGCAAGCAUUGAGAAAAUACGUUGCAUGUAACAAGGCCACAGCGUCAUUGCUGGGCUUUUCCAAGUCCAAAAUCAGGGCCUUGAGCAGAUAAGCUAGAUAAUUUAGGGGACUUAGGAGAUGAUUAUCCAAAGGCUGAUCUAAGGUACUGUACUAGUUAUUUUUUUGUUGUUGUUGUUGUUGCUGAGAUAAAGCACCCAAUGCCCAAAGUUAAAGGGGAAAGGGUUUAUUUAGCUCACAGUUUUUAGAGGUUUCAGUCUGUAAUCAGCUGGCUCCAAGGCAGGGUGGCACAUGUCAGAGGGGCAACCAUUCAAGGCAGCUAAAGCAAAAGCGAUGGAGGGCAGGGGGAUAAUAAGCCUCUUUCUGUCACUUAUGUUGUGUGGUGGCUACUUGCCCUAGGACCACGAAUCAAUCACAAACUCCUUAUUCAGCCACUUCUGAAAAGCCCGUGCCCCACUCUCCCCAUGACUGCAUGAGGCUUUGGGGGACAUCUAGAUACAAACAAAUAACAGGACAAAGUGACACUUGAAAAAGUAAUAGCUUAAUACCUAGAAAUGGGACUGAAUUUCACACUGAGCAUAGUGGCCUUAUGCUGAGGCUCCUGAAUCUUAGUACAGAACUCUAAUUCCCAUCUAGUGUGGCUGGGCUCGAUUCCAGAGCCCAGGUUUGAAAGUCAAAGGGCAACCAACAGCCAACAGUCAGUGGGUUAAAGAGGGCCAGCAAGAUGGGUAGGUCCAAAAAGUAGAACUAAGGCAUUUGCAGACUACCUCUUUCAGUUCUGGACUGGUAGAAGCAUUUGGGGGAAAUUCUAAUUAACUAAAGGAGUUAGCAAAUUGAAAGAAUCCAAAGAAAAGGCUGACCUUUCCAAAUGGCUGACUCAGUCAUAGGGUGGGGGAGGUUCCUACAGUGGCUUUUAUCUGCAGCUUUCAAAAAUGUUUAUGAAUGCUGCCAUGACAAGCUUCCUAUUUAUAGAGAGGUUAAAAGGUUUGCCCCCAGGUAACCCAUUUUGUCACACACAUAAAAUGUAAAAGCAGGACAAAAAUUAAGGCAAAUCUAAUUUGCUAAGUGUUAACCCUUCAUCCAGGCAUAAAAGUCAUCAAUAAUGUUAUACUUACCAUGUCAAAGUCAGCAGCCAUGACAUACUACCAAACCACCAGUGACAUUUGCUCAUCUUUCAGCUAAUCCUAUUAAAAUUAUGUUUCCUGUCUAGCACAUGGGUCCCCUGAGGACUGGGAAUGCUCUGCAGCAGAUGUUCUUUCCUGCCUAAAGGGACAAUGCUGAGUGCAGAAAACUUUCUGAUAACCCCACCCAAGCCUACCUGGGACCAGAGACAUACAUACAUACUGUCAGUGAAACCAACAUUUUCCAACUGGCUCAGGCUUGGAUUCUCAUGGACCCUCCUGCAUGGUCUGGACUCCAGUAGUCUGUCUUCUGCUCUGCCCUUCCUUUAUGUGGCCAAAUCAGCUGUCCUGAGUAUCCACAGAAGAGACACAAAGGACAAACUAUUCUUCAAGAAGAAGAAAAAGGAAUUUGGAAAUAUUUAGUUGGUUGCAUAAGAGAAAGCAUAAGAAUCUGAAAAAUAGAAGAGAGUUGUGAGAAGGUAAGGCGCUCUGGUCACUGAACGGGACAGCAAAUUCAUGGGCAGUGGGACGUUUCCUGUGUCAGAAACACUUGGGAAGUUCAAAAAUAACCCUGAACUGUCAGCAAUUGUUUGCAACCAACAAUGAGCAUAUAUAAGAGAUGUUUUUAAGAGAUGUUUUUUAAGGAGGGAGAGGAAUAGUAUCUGAUGUGAAACAAAGUGGGCCUGAGAGAGGGGCAGCAGAUUCAGGGGCUGAAACCAAGUUUGAAACAAGCAAUAGCAAUGAGUCAGACAAAUACCGCCUAUUCCACAGCUAAAACAAAAGUAACCUGUAUAUCUGCAAAGACUCUUGAGAGUGACUUUCUACCCCUGGCUGGAGGUUUGAACUAAAUUGACUCUCAAAAGCCCGAGGACACAGGGAAAUCUGGGUUGUGGUAAUAUCAUCAAACCUGGCUGCAGUUUGCUUGGCUGCAUCAGAUAUUGACAUCUGCCAACAUGCUCAUCAUUUUAGUGUCUGUCUAGAUCAGAGCUUCCUAUCUUCAGCCCUCUUGUCAUUUGGGGGCAAAUAAUUCAUUGUUGUGGAAGAAAGGGAAAGUCUAGGGUAUUGUACAAUGUUUAGCAGCCUCUCUGACCUCUACCCACUAGAGGCCAAUAGCCUUAGCACAACAUCACCAAGCUGUGGAAAUCAAGUGUCUUGAGAUAUUGCUAGGCAUCCCCUGGGAGACAAAAAUUGGUUCCCCUUUCCCUGUUGGGAACUUAUGUAUGUAUAGGUGAAGAUCUUUAUUCAACACAUAUUCAUAUCCUGUGUUCUUGCAUAAAAUAUGCAUUUAUUCCCCCUCCAAUAGCAAUAGCACUGUUUUGUAAACAUGUGUCCCAAAGCUGUUUUGUAUCAUUUAACUGUCACACUAAGUCAUAUAAGCUCUGACCUUCUGGGGACUGACCAAGAGGGAUGCCACAGCAAGUUCUCAGUUCUCUAAGAAUUGUUAUGAAUAUAUUUAUGUAAUUACAGUAGAUACAGUGUUCUAUAGCCUACAUUUACAAACAUAAUAAUAGCACUACCAUUAAUAAAAUACUGACAUUUUAACCUUACAUACAAAUCAGAAUUAAACAUUGGCUAUACAUCUGG